GAGUGGCGGACGGGUGAGUAACACGUGGGUAACCUGCCCAGAAGCAGGGGAUAACACCUGGAAACAGAUGCUAAUACCGUAUAACAGAGAAAACCGCCUGGUUUUCUUUUAAAAGAUGGCUCUGCUAUCACUUCUGGAUGGACCCGCGGCGCAUUAGCUAGUUGGUGAGGUAACGGCUCACCAAGGCGAUGAUGCGUAGCCGACCUGAGAGGGUAAUCGGCCACAUUGGGACUGAGACACGGCCCAGACUCCUACGGGAGGCAGCAGUAGGGAAUCUUCCACAAUGGACGCAAGUCUGAUGGAGCAACGCCGCGUGAGUGAAGAAGGGUUUCGGCUCGUAAAGCUCUGUUGUUAAAGAAGAACGUGGGUGAGAGUAACUGUUCACCCAGUGACGGUAUUUAACCAGAAAGCCACGGCUAACUACGUGCCAGCAGCCGCGGUAAUACGUAGGUGGCAAGCGUUAUCCGGAUUUAUUGGGCGUAAAGCGAGCGCAGGCGGUCUUUUAAGUCUAAUGUGAAAGCCUUCGGCUCAACCGAAGAAGUGCAUUGGAAACUGGGAGACUUGAGUGCAGAAGAGGAUAGUGGAACUCCAUGUGUAGCGGUGAAAUGCGUAGAUAUAUGGAAGAACACCAGUGGCGAAGGCGGCUGUCUGGUCUGUAACUGACGCUGAGGCUCGAAAGCAUGGGUAGCGAACAGGAUUAGAUACCCUGGUAGUCCAUGCCGUAAACGAUGAUUACUAAGUGUUGGAGGGUUUCCGCCCUUCAGUGCUGCAGCUAACGCAUUAAGUAAUCCGCCUGGGGAGUACGACCGCAAGGUUGAAACUCAAAAGAAUUGACGGGGGCCCGCACAAGCGGUGGAGCAUGUGGUUUAAUUCGAAGCUACGCGAAGAACCUUACCAGGUCUUGACAUCUUCUGCCAACCUAAGAGAUUAGGCGUUCCCUUCGGGGACAGAAUGACAGGUGGUGCAUGGUUGUCGUCAGCUCGUGUCGUGAGAUGUUGGGUUAAGUCCCGCAACGAGCGCAACCCUUAUUACUAGUUGCCAGCAUUCAGUUGGGCACUCUAGUGAGACUGCCGGUGACAAACCGGAGGAAGGUGGGGACGACGUCAAAUCAUCAUGCCCCUUAUGACCUGGGCUACACACGUGCUACAAUGGAUGGUACAACGAGUUGCGAAACCGCGAGGUUUAGCUAAUCUCUUAAAACCAUUCUCAGUUCGGACUGUAGGCUGCAACUCGCCUACACGAAGUCGGAAUCGCUAGUAAUCGCGGAUCAGCAUGCCGCGGUGAAUACGUUCCCGGGCCUUGUACACACCGCCCGUCACACCAUGAGAGUUUGUAACACCCAAAGCCGGUGGGGUAACCUUAGGAG
rnacentral:rRNA from 1 species